GUUGUAUGGUUAAGUGACUAAGCGUACACGGUGGAUGCCUUGGCAGUCAGAGGCGAUGAAAGACGUAGUAACUUGCGAUAAGCCCAGAUUAGGUAGUAACAACCAUUUGAGUCUGGGAUUUCUGAAUGGGGAAACCCACUAGCAUAAGCUAGUAUCGUUAUGUGAAUACAUAGCAUAACGAGGCGAACCGGGGGAACUGAAACAUCUAAGUACCCCGAGGAAAAGAAAUCAACCGAGAUUCCGAAAGUAGCGGCGAGCGAAAUUGGACUAGCCCUUAAGCUUUACACGCGUUAGACGAACGGUCUG
rnacentral:rRNA from 1 species